CAACAAAAAGCUCGACCUCAAAUCAGGUAGGAAUACCCGCUGAACUUAAGCAUAUCAAUAAGCGGAGGAAAAG
rnacentral:rRNA from 1 species